UACGAAGGGGGCUAGCGUUGCUCGGAAUCAUUGGGCGUAAAGCGCGCGUAGGUGGCCUCAUAAGUCCGCUGUGAAAGUCAAAGGCUCAACCUUUGAAAGCCGGUGGAUACUGUGAGGCUAGAGUACGGAAGAGGCGAGUGGAAUUCCUGGUGUAGCGGUGAAAUGCGCAGAUAUCAGGAGGAACACCGGUGGCGAAGGCGGGUCUCUGGGCCGAAACUGACGCUGAGGAGCGAAAGCGUGGGGAGCAAACAGG
rnacentral:rRNA from 1 species